CGGACGGGUGAGUAACACGUGGAUAACCUACCUAUAAGACUGGGAUAACUUCGGGAAACCGGAGCUAAUACCGGAUAAUAUAUUGAACCGCAUGGUUCAAUAGUGAAAGACGGUUUUGCUGUCACUUAUAGAUGGAUCCGCGCCGCAUUAGCUAGUUGGUAAGGUAACGGCUUACCAAGGCAACGAUGCGUAGCCGACCUGAGAGGGUGAUCGGCCACACUGGAACUGAUACACGGUCCAGACUCCUACGGGAGGCAGCAGUC
rnacentral:rRNA from 1 species